UAGUCUUCCACAUUCGAGGGUUCCAUUGUUACAAUACAAAUACAACUGUUAGAUCAGAGGUUUAAACACAUUGAAAGUUAUCAGAAUAUCAACAUGAAUGAUUUGUGAUAAACAGUAACAUAGUACAAUAUGUUGUACUUGUGCAAUGACAAUCCAUUCAACCUGUUUUGCUCAUAUGUGACUUACCGUUGUCUCCCCACAGCCUGAACAAAGAAUUUCCAGGACGAGCUUUGACGGCAGCGACCACCAUCUUAUCCACAUCCUACAAAAAAGGCCAAAGACGAAACUAUUAACCACCCAAAAAGUGGGCGUGCAGCGGACAAGUUUGAUGCCCCAGUUACAGUACAUCAUCAACUACCAACAUCACAAAUACACUUUUCUUUAACCUCAAUUAACUUUGAUUUGUGAUCAUCUUCUUUGGAAUAAUAUACUAGCUUUGUGUUUUAACAACUUGCACUUUAUUAAACAUGUUAUUGAACAGCUAUUAGGAAUACUACUGGUUAUUUACAUUGCGUUCAUGUAGAAAUAUAUCAUCAUUAGUCUCAACUUAACUGGCUAAUAAAGAUUCUUGAUUGUGUAACUAAGUGAACAGGAGUGCAUUAUAGAUGGUGACAACCAUCGUCGAUAACGCCCUGUAAAACUUUUGCAUUAGUAUUUAACACAAUAACAUGCAUACAUCACUUGACAUUUCAAACAGCCGUGUUAAUUAAUACAAUAAUUUUGUCUUUCUUGGUAGUCAAAGAAGGAAAUAAAAUGUUUUUAAUACUCACUUUUUGCUCUUCCGCUUGAGCUACGACGAUAGGCAAACUUGUGCGGUUUACAUUAAAUGGGUAAUAAUAACAAAUGACUCCAGCCCCAACAAUUGUGCCUCCAAUGGCCGGUCCGACAGCUCGGUGCCAUGUUAAACCUUUUAGAGACCUUGAACCCCGGACAGUGUUCCGAAACACGU